rnacentral:rRNA from 1 species
UAAUACGUAGGGAGCAAGCGUUGUUCGGAUUUACUGGGCGUAAAGGGCGCGUAGGCGGCGCGGUAAGUCACUUGUGAAAUCUCUGAGCUUAACUCAGAACGGCCAAGUGAUACUGCAGUGCUAGAGUGCAGAAAGGGCAAUCGGAAUUCUUGGUGUAGCGGUGAAAUGCGUAGAUAUCAAGAGGAACACCUGAGGCGAAGGCGGGUUGCUAGGCUGACACUGACGCUGAGGCGCGAAAGCCAGGGGAGCAAACGGGAUUAGAUACCCCGGUAGUCCUGGCCCUAAACGAUGAAUACUUGGUGUCUGGAGUUUCAAUACUCCGGGUGCCGUCGCUAACGUUUUAAGUAUUCCGCCUGGGGAGUACGCUCGCAAGAGUGAAACUCAAAUGAAUUGACGG